GAUGAACGCUGGCGGCGUGCUUAACACAUGCAAGUCGAACGGAAAGGCCCAAGCUUGCUUGGGUACUCGAGUGGCGAACGGGUGAGUAACACGUGGGUGAUCUGCCCUGCACUUCGGGAUAAGCCUGGGAAACUGGGUCUAAUACCGGAUAGGACCACUUCUUGGAUGUUGUGGUGGAAAGUUUUUUCGGUGUGGGAUGAGCUCGCGGCCUAUCAGCUUGUUGGUGGGGUAAUGGCCUACCAAGGCGUCGACGGGCAGCCGGCCUGAGAGGGUGUACGGCCACAUUGGGACUGAGAUACGGCCCAGACUCCUACGGGAGGCAGCAGUGGGGAAUAUUGCACAAUGGGCGCAAGCCUGAUGCAGCGACGCCGCGUGGGGGAUGACGGCCUUCGGGUUGUAAACUCCUUUCGCUAGGGACGAAGCGUUUUGUGACGGUACCUGGAGAAGAAGCACCGGCUAACUACGUG
rnacentral:rRNA from 1 species